UAACCAACGUUAUCAUAAUGUAAUGACAACGGACCGUUUCUCUUUCCACCGUUGGGAUCCCUACGCCAUCUUUGAUUCUGUCUCAAUGGCUCCGUUCAAGCGGCGCCCUCUGCUGGUCAUCUAGGCUCUCGGUGUUGGUACAUUUAAUCAGAUUAAUGUCCAGUUCGAAGCAAAAAGACGCCGGCAGCCAUUGUGGAAGCUUCAAAAAUAACAUCCACCCUUCAGAGAUCUGGAAGAAUCAAAACCACAGCAACAAUCCCAGAGCUGCAGCAGCAGGAACACCCAUGCUGUUCCUCCCUCUUUGUUUACUGCAUUUUAAUCCUUUGUGAUGUUGAAACCAUUCAAACAGUGCUGCACUUGUCAUCUACUGGAUUUGCUGUGGUUUACAGUGGAGCGAAAACAAAACAGACCCCUGGAUGUGAGAAGGGCUCCUCUGCUGAUUCGGCCUACAACUCUUGUUCGGCACAGAUGUGACUCUUGGUGGCAGCCAGACGUCACCGUUCGGCCACAGCGCCCUGCCUGAGCCGCUCUGACUCACACGUUCAACACUGUUGCCAGGGCUACCGUUUAUUAACCCCGGCCCUCAACUUUGAGCCGCAUGUUCAGGCUGCGGCGUGGUCUGACGGCUGACACCGGCAAUGAAUCGCUCUGACACGAACCAUGAGCAGAGAAGAUGAGUCUGAGUCUGACUGAUGGAGACUGUGACAGGGGGCAACAAUGAUGGAGCAAGAUUUCUGAAGAACAGGAUGUUCACUGGGCCUGGAGACAGGAGUGCCAUACAUAAGACACUUCUGCCCCCUGGUGGACAGGUCGCUUCUUAACCACAAACUGUGCUGAAGGAACCAUUGAGCGUUUCGUUAGAAUAUGUUUUUGUCUUUCAUUGAAGAGGAAGAUGUUUUCUUUG